rnacentral:lncRNA from 1 species
UUGGAUCUAACCUUGCUUCACCUGUUGAUGCAAGUAGCGCACAAGCUGUAAGAGGAACAAAUCUUCCACAUUCUUCAGGGUUGGCUCAUAAUUCGGUUCUUCAAAAGGUAUUUUGUAUUUCACAUUCUCUAUUAAUAGUCUGCAUAUUGUUAUCGAUAUCCAAGGUAGUUGUUGUUUUGUUGCUUGUGUAUCUCCUCUUAUUGUUGACUCUAUUAAUGUUCUUCUGGAAGUUGUCCAAUGUGUUUUCUUCACCUUUUUUCUGAGGUUUUUCGGUUUUGAUUGCCUCCUUUCUUGAGACAGUUUACUUGUCAUGUAUAUGACAUAAAGAGGAUAAGAUUGGUAGGCAUAUCGUAUCACUCUAGAAGAACGAGGAUCUCUGUUUUCUGAUUUACUGCCAUGCCUUGCAUUAUUAGUUUUCAUUUUUCCUUGUAUGUUUGUGGAAUGAUUCUAGUUAUCCUCUGUAGUGAUAUAAUAAUUCUUGUUAGAAUAGGAUUGUGUAUACCUAACAAUUCUAACUCACAGUUUAUUCUGAUGAUACUAUUAUGGACUCUCUAUUAUAAAGCUUCCAGUGAAUUUGGUUUUUGGAGUCUUGAAUUAAUAGUGUGAAUUUGAGAUAAACAUUGAAUUAGAGUAAGGUAAAAGAAGAGAAGAUGUGAAAAGAAGAUCUGUGAACUUCUUAUUGAAAAAAAGAGGACAUGACCUAUAUGUUUCUGGUUUGAAAAAACAUAAAGGUAAAAAAUUGGUUUUCUGGUUUUGUAUUAUAGCAUGUCACUGACAGGUCUGAUUGUGAUGCAUUUGUAUGUUUGUCUACUGUUUUCUCCCAGAUUUUAUCAUACAUAUGUCUUGGAUCACUUCUUUAAAAUCUUCCACUCUUAGAGUACCUAAAUUGUUCUUGUCUACCUUGCUAAAUAUGAUUGAAAUAUCUUCCUGAAAACGUAAUAUUUCAACACUAGAUAAAUGAACGGAAGAAACGGAAAAGUUCAUAACAGAAACAAACGAAACAAAAUACCAGAAGUGUGAGCAUAAUAGUAUCAAUUCUUGAUCUUGAUUUCAAACGUCGUACCAAUAUGAGGGAGAGUGAGGGUGGAACAAGUAAGUAAAGUUAAGUUCCCUUAGUAUAUUUAGAAUUAGUAAAUGAGAAUUGUUGCAAGUUGACACUUCUUUAGUUUCCAAGAAAUGCUGCUAAAUUGUUGAAAUUCAAUAUAAGACAUCAAAAGCUAAGGAUUGUGAUGCAUUUGUAUGUUUGCCUACUAUUUUCACCUAGAUUUUAUCAUUCAUAUUUGGGUCUUCUUUGUACAUGUUUGGGAUCAUUUAACUGUUUGCCUACUGUUUUCUCCCAGAUUUAUUUUGAUUGUAGUGUGUAUGAAUUGUGCAGACAUAGAUUUCAAGAUAAUAUGAGUAUAGGCAGGAUUCCAUAUCACCCAUGUUUGCCUACUGUUUUCUCCCAGAUUUUAUAGUUUUUGUACAUGUUUGGGGAUCAUUUAACUGUGAAGGGGCUGGGAAUUGAACAAUCACUAGUGAGCAUAUGCAAUACAUGAUUCUCUAACUUAUGAUUUAAUUUUGAAUGUGCAGGAAAAGGCCGCUGAUUGAAUUUGAUGAAUAGAGGACAGAAGUAAACUCGAUCUAUUAUAUUGUAGUGAACGAUAAAGAGUUUUUGUACUAUUAUCAUAAAUG